AACGUAGGAGACAAACGUUAUCCGGAGUUACUGGGCGUAAAGGGCGUGUAGGCGGUUUGUUAAGUCUGGCGUGAAAGCUCUCGGCUAAACCGGGAGAGGUCGUUGGAUACUGGCGAACUAGAGGAUGGUAGAGGCGUGUUGAAUUCCGGGUGUAGUGGUGAAAUGCGUAGAGAUCCGGAGGAACACCAGUGGCGAAGGCGACACGCUGGGCCAUACCUGACGCUAAAGCGCGACAGCAUGGGGAGCAAACGGG
rnacentral:rRNA from 1 species